rnacentral:misc_RNA from 1 species
CGCACACUUGGACGCGCCGGAAGAUGCUGGUGGCGGGAUUUACAUCCCUUUCAUCCCCUUCAUGCCUCCGCCUUUCAUUCCGUCCAUCCCCUUCGUUUCAUUAUGACCCUUCAUGUGUUUUCCCGACAUGUGGCGCAUCUUUUUCUUGGCCUUGACCUGCGUCACUCCAGUCUCACUCAUGCCACUAACCAUUGGAAUCCCGGGCAUCGCCGCAGCCGUAAUGACGGACGCAAAGAAAGCGACGGCCGUCGCCAGGCAAGUGCAAUCUUUUUCAUAACCAUGAUCUCCUGUUUAAAUACUGCGAUGUGCUUAAAUCUCGCAAGCAGCGAAAGUUCCAUCAUAAUCCCGUUUUGAGUGUUUUUAUA